GCUGCAAUUCCCACUCCACAGUGGCUAUCACAGACGCAGGCAAAAUCCCAGCUCUGCCAGCCAUCUCAGCUCCCAUGUUACGGUCCCAUUAUUUUGGCCCUACCCAUCUUGUUCUAUUUCCAGUCCCAGGACCCAGCUCCAACGUCCAUAUCACAGGCCUACAGUGAUUCCUGCACACAGAUCCUACAGUGGCUAUGACAUUAUCAGUCCCUAUCCCAGCCCACAGUGAUUUCAGCUCUAGCCCUGGAGAGCCCUUCCCAGCCCCAGUGAUUUCAGCUCUUGGCCCACAAGCUUUAUUUCACUGCAUGCUCUCUUCUUCCAGCUCCAGAUGCGUGUUUCUUCAAUGCUGCUGGCAGAAACUUCUCCAGCUCCAGAUGCGUGUUUCUUCAAUGCUGCUGGCUGAAACUUCUCCAGCUCCAGAUGCGUGUUUCUUGAAUGCUGCUGGCAGAAACUUCUCCAGCACCAGAUGCGUGAUUCUGCAAUGCUGCUGGCUGAAACUUCUCCAGGUACAAGGCGCAGGAUCUUCCUCCUGUCUCCAGCUCGGCAACAUUUCAGCUCCCACCCUUGGGCCUAGAAGCCCACCCCACAGUCAAUGUCCCCGCCCCACUGUGAAUUCAGCACCAGCGCUACAGUGGCUAUCAAAGACGCAGGCAAAAUCCCUAACGCGUUUCAGCUCCCCUGCUACGGUCCCAUUAUUUUGCCCCUACCCAUCUUGUUCUAUUUCCAAUCACAGGACCCAGCCCCAACAUCCAUAUCACAGGCCUACAGUGAUUCCAGCACACAGAUCCUACAGUGGCAAUCCCAUUAGCAGUCCCUAUCCCAGCCCACAGUGAUUUCAGCUCUAGCCCUGGAGAGCCCUUCCCAGCCCCAGUGAUUUCAGCUCUUGGCCCACAAGCUUUAUUUAAC
rnacentral:lncRNA from 1 species